UCGGGAAUUUUGGGCAAUGGGCGCAAGCCUGAUCCAGCCAUGCCGCGUGAGUGAAGAAGGCCUUCGGGUUGUAAAGCUCUUUCGGCGGGGACGAAAUGGUUCGUGCCAAUACCACGGACUGAUGACGGUACCUGAAGAAGAAGCACCGGCUAACUACGUGCCAGCAGCCGCGGUAAUACGUAGGGUGCAGGCGUUAAUCGGAAUUACUGGGCGUAAAGCGUGCGCAGGCGGUUUGUUAAGACAGAUGUGAAAUCCCCGGGCUUAACCUGGGAACUGCGUUUGUAACUGGCAGACUGGAGUGUGGCAGAGGGGGGUGGAAUUCCAAGUGUAGCAGUGAAAUGCGUAGAUAUUUGGAGGAACACCGAUGGCGAAGGCAGCCCCCUGGGCUAACACUGACGCUCAUGCACGAAAGCGUGGGGAGCAAACAGGAUUAGAUACCCAGUAGUCCCUGAGCGGGCUGGCAAGGCGCAU
rnacentral:rRNA from 1 species